GCACAGGCACUCAUCCAAGCACGCAGGCGCUGAGUUUGCUUCGGUGACGCACGGGGCCGUUUUCGCACACCCGUCACCGUCGUCGUCGCCGUCUCUUGGUCUUAUAUCGUCUGCGUCUUCUCUUCACCUGCUCCCGCCAUCCCCCGAAGCGUGGGUCUCUCGGUGGCACAGAUGCGGUGCCGCGCGCUGCGGCUGCGAACGGCCGUUUCAGGUGUGGAGGAGAGCCAGUUUUUCGCCUCCAUGCGGGCGCAGAUUCUAAGUGAUCUACGCACUAACACAAAUGACCGAAGCCUCGCGGGCCGCGUGGACCCACAGAUCGCCAAGCUAGUCGAUUACAUCAACGGCUCCUUCACCCAGUACGUAACCAGUAGCUCAUGCGGGGGACGGGUGGUGCUUUUCCACAAAGGCAUAACGAGCAAUGGUACGGCGAGCUCACCCCACGCAACCGCGGAGCCGGCCGGGUCUUCGUCACCCACAGCCGCAUCCUCUGUCGAGCGGCGGAAACGCGGCUCUUUUGGUCGAGGAACUCUGUACCAGUCACACGAUCCUCUGCCGACGGACACAUCGAUCACUGUGAGAGAGCGCAUCGUGCCUGCUCUGGAAGAGUUUUGGGCAUGGCGGCAGGCGCAGACUUCCGAUGCGCGGCUGCAAACGACGGAGGUGCUGCAGCUCAAGUUUGAGCCAAUGAUUCUGCACGUACUUUGCGCUGACUUCGAAGCCGCCGCCGAGCUGCUCAAGUGUGGCAGUGAGAGCGGGCAGAUGAACAGCGGCAUCGUCUCUUGCUCGCGUGGGACCACGGCACAUCGUAAGAUCACUUGCUGCGUCACCUCUCCGCUCUGCGUCGAUGUGCCGCUCUUUGCCCACGACGCGUGGUGCGUCUCACCCGCCAACUUCCGCAGCGACGUCUGGGCAACGUUCUUGACAGCCUCCCUCGAUCACAUCAACGCGCUUUUUGCGGAGAACGCCACGCGCCGCAAACGAUUUGAGUUGGAGCUACACGCGCGUGCUGGGAAGGCGGCCGCGCAGCAACAGCGGGGCGGCAUCCGUGAUUGAGAUGGGAAGAGGUCAAAGACUCAGCGAGCAGUACACUUGUGCGCGUGCAUGCACUGUGACCCACACACACACACACGCACAAGCACACGUAAAGCCUCACUAUCAGCGUGCUAGCACACGGCGCCACCUUCGCUGACGGGGAGCGACAUCACCACGCGAUAUGUAAGUGUAACGCCUUUUCAUCAGCGACGAGAGCAGCAAAUCUAAAACACACACACACACACACACACACAGAAACGGCGGGGCAAGGCGUAAGAAGACGGACUUCGCUGACGUGAAGAUGCACACACGUGAGCGGUGUGCUUCGUUCCUCGGUUAGGGGCCCAUGUGCUGUGGCGCGGAGUGCGGGGAGGAGGGGAGGGGGGCUGAAUAUGGCGCCAUGCUCGUCAGCCCUCGCACCAAGUCCUUCCCCUCUCUCUCUGCUUCUCUUUCGAUACCCACCCUCCCCCCUUUCGUUGAGUUGUAUCGUUGAGGCGCCAGCGGACUGCGGUUGUGUCGCCAUCUUCUAUCAGCGCCAUCUUCUUCUGCCCACCGCCUCGUCUUCCUGCGCACGCUUCUCCGAAUCUCCUCAUUUCUGCUCAUGCGCGAAG
rnacentral:misc_RNA from 1 species